CUGCAGUACACGGCAAAGUCCCCAGGUGACAUGUGAAGCUCGGAUCCCCUCAGCAGAGACCACCCCAGCUGCAGGAGUCAAUGGGUAUCUUGGCUCCUGCAACUGCCCCAAGCAGACGAUUCCAGAAAAUUAGUCCUUCUAAAUGUAUGAAUGGCUAGUUUAUAACGAGUUUAUGGCCUUGCAUUCCAUAGCAGUGCCUCAUCUUGGCUAGAGCUGAAAUGGGUAUUUGAAAUUCACUGAAAUUUCCAAUUUCACCAUUUAAGUGUGCAUUUUGAAUGUGACAUUUUGCCUCGAUUGAAAUGGUUUAGAUAUGCUGGCAUCUUUUUGGUGCUUUUGGCAGGCAUUUAUUUGUUUGUUUACAUAUCUCUACCCACUUACACCACUCUCACAUAGCUACUCAGCCUCUCAUGACGUACAUCAAUAAUACAAUAUAAACCAAUACAAAAUCUUAUAAUCUUCCAGCUAUCAAGUACUAAAUCCCCGACAUGCCAUUAUCAAAUUCUCUUCAGUACUAAAUGCCAUUACAUAUCAUUUAUCAAAUACAGUCUGAUACUAAAUACUAUUGCUUGCUAACCAUCAGAUACUAAAUUCCAUUGCUUAUGAGCUAUUAAAUACUAUUAAAUACUGAAAAAAUAUGGUUGCAUGUCAGUUAUUAAAUCCAUUACAUGUCACCUGUCAAAUAUCCUAGGAAUUCAAAUGCAGAUAAUAUCAAAUAUUGGGAAAAUAUUUGACAAAUGAUUGUAUCUGGAGAAUAUUUGACAUACCAAUUUGGAAGAGAUUUUUUAUGGCAGAAAAAUCACCCUCCUUUUGGCUCUAAUGAGUACUGUCUUGCUGCCUGUCAUUCAUGGACAAAGAUAGCUCUCUCUUUUUUCCUUCCACCUUGCAGUGAAUGUCGUAGUAGUGGUAGACGGGAACUGCAUCCUCCAAUACACCCAUCGUCAAUCACCUUGCUCCUGCCUUUCCGAUGGGGAGCCUCUCUUGCCCCGACACCCUCCACCAACUUAUGGGGCUGUGCCCCCCAGCCCCACUAUCCCCCGAGGACCAGCUUGUGGGCAAGAAGCCGGACCGCCCCCGUCCCGCAGGACUCGUGGACUCAGUGUCCGCUGUUGCACCAAAGCCUGCCUGGGGGACGAAGAGGAACACACUGACCGGCAUCUCCAUCGAGGGCCACCUUGCAGCCGUCUCACCCCAGUGCCCUUGCCCCGCAGCCCCUCCGGGCCAUGGUUUGGAGUGGGAUCACUCAGCGGGGGGCGGCCAGGAGCUCGUGUUGUGAAGAUCUGGGACCGGCAGCGAUGCCCUUUGCUGGAGGAAGGGGAUAUCAUCGCCAAGGUGAACGGAGCUGAUGUCCGAGACUUGAGUCCUGGAGAAGUGGAGAGUGUCUUGCAGGAGCACACGCGGACCGGUGACGUGAUCCUUCUGGUGGAGAGGAAAGGUCAUCACUCCAGGAGACAUACCCAGGAAAAUUGCACAUUUCCACGGGAAAACUUCUUGCCUGAUUCCUCUCACAAUAAGAGAGUUUCCCGGGAUGCUCCUAACCCCUGGGGAGGUCCCUCAGGAGACACUUUAGCUGUGACCAGUUUUGUGGGUCCCGAGCCCCGUGAUGUACUUGUGUGUCCUGCACAUUGUUCCCAGAGACCAAGGAGGCCCCGGCCAGCAGGAGGUGCUGGGGACCCCAUAGGAAGUGUGGAUGGUCCCCGAGAAGAGUACGGAUGCAGCAGCAGCACAGCCAUAGCAACAGAUGGAGGUGGAAUUAGCAAAGGAGGUGAGGAUGUGUUGAAGGCCCAUACGAGAAGUGAAGGGAACAAUCUGUGUCCGGCUCAGCAGCAGUUCUAGGUUUUGCACAGUGAUGUGCUUUGAAAAGAUUUCUUAUGUUUGCUUAGCAUGCCUUAAAGUAUAGUUUGUUGCCAUAACUGAUUUUAUACAGGUUUUAAAAACUGGUUUUGGUUUGUGUCUACUGCAAAACCCUGUCUUACGCAAUAGCUUAAAAGCAGUUUUCUGAAACUCUAAAAUAAUUUAAAGUAGCCAAUUGAUUGUAACGUGGCACCUAAAAAGUCAAUGUGAUUCUAGGCUGCAUCAGUAGGAGUUUGGUGUCCAUACUGAGGGAAGUAAAAGUACCACUCUAUUCUGCUUUGGUCAGACUUCACUUGGAAGACUUGUGUCCAGUUCUAGGCAUCACAAUUUGAGAACAACAUGGAAACCCGAAAAGUGUCCAAAGAAGGGCAAUCAAAAUGGUAAAAAGAUUUGGACGCCAAGCCCUGUGAGCAGCACCUUAGG
rnacentral:lncRNA from 11 species